GGCAGCAGUGGGGAAUACUGCGCAAUGGGCGAAAGCCUGACGCAGCGACGCCGCGUGCGGGAUGACGGCCUUCGGGUUGUAAACCGCUUUCACCAGGGACGAAGUGCCUUUCGGGGUGUGACGGUACCUGGAGAAGAAGCACCGGCUAACUACGUGCCAGCAGCCGCGGUAAU
rnacentral:rRNA from 1 species